rnacentral:rRNA from 1 species
UACGGGGGGAGCAAGCGUUGUUCGGAUUUACUGGGCGUAAAGGGCGCGUAGGCGGCGCAACAAGUCACUUGUGAAAUCUCCGGGCUUAACUCGGAAAGGUCAAGUGAUACUGUUGUGCUAGAGUGCGGAAGGGGCAACUGGAAUUCUCGGUGUAGCGGUGAAAUGCGUAGAUAUCGAGAGGAACACCUGCGGCGAAGGCGGGUUGCUGGGCCGACACUGACGCUGAUGCGCGAAAGCGUGGGGAGCAAACAGG